rnacentral:rRNA from 1 species
GACGAACGCUGGCGGCAAGCCUAACACAUGCAAGUCGAACGAGUGGCGGACGGGUGAGUAAUGUCUGGGAAACUGCCUGAUGGAGGGGGAUAACUACUGGAAACGGUAGCUAAUACCGCAUACCAUCGGAUGUGCCCAGAUGGGCUUAGCUAGUAGGUGGGGUAAAGGCUCACCUAGGCGACGAUCCCUAGCUGGUCUGAGAGGAUGACCAGCCACACGGGAACUGAUCCACGGUCCAGACUCCAACGGUGGGCAGCAGUGGGGAAUAUUGCACAAUGGGCGCAAGCCUGAUGCAGCCAUGCCGCGUGUAUGAAGAAGGCCUUCGGUUUGUAAAGUACUUUCAGCGGGGAGGCGUAACCCGCAGAAGAAGCACGGGCUAACUCCGUGCCAGCAGCCGCGGUAUUC